GGAUUAGGCAUGCAACUCGAACGAGGAUCUAUUUAUCGGAAUAUAAACCAAGUAGCGCAAGGGUGGGUAAUACAUAGAUAACCUACCUCUGGGAUAAGGACAACUUUGUGAAAACGGAGCUAAUACUUAAUAAAACAAAAGAAAAUAAUAUCCUUUUCCAAUGUGAGGGUCCCGAUACCUUUUGCCUGGAGAGGGGUUUAUGUCCUAUCAGCUUGUUGGUGGGGUAAUGGCCUACCAAGGCACAGACGGGUAGCCGGCCUUAGAGGGUGGUCGGCCACACUGGGGCUGAGACACUGCCCAGACUUCUACGGAAGGCAGCAGUCGAGAAUCUUUCGUAAUGCCCGAAAGG
rnacentral:rRNA from 1 species